rnacentral:misc_RNA from 1 species
CAAAGUUCUCCCCCGCCCCACCAGUAGAAGCUUGCCAAGGCAGAGGGCGGUGGACAGUGGGUUUCUUUCAUUCAUAAAUGCGUCAGAAAUUAUGUUCAAUUAUAUAAGAUUCUCUAAUUCUACAUUUGGAAUUUUCCAUUGAUGAAGGGUUGAUAUUCCAUCAGUAGAACAGCAAUCUUGAUUCUUGAAUUACAUGCAAUGUGAAUUCUAGCAAUAGUUCUACCGCACAAUUUCAAAUUUCUUCUAUUCUAUCACUUAAUCACCAAAAAACAAAUACCUACAUCUCAAGGAAUUUAAUGGUAGCUAUACUAUAAUUAGCUCUCACACCUUCUCUGCAAGUUAUUUCUCUCUGGUUCUUUUGCAAAGUCUGUGCAUCUAUCAAGCUUACCCAACACUGCAUUCUUGAAAUUUACAGCUUCAGGAACUUGUGAGCAGGACCUCUGCAUUCUAACCCCACUUAUACUAUUUCUUGAUGCCAUCAACUCAUUAAGUGACAGCCUUUUCUUUGGCCCAGGUUCAGGCCUCUGCUUUGGAGCACUAUGUGACCUCACUUUAGCUUUGAAAGAUUGUGUAUUAGCCAUAUAAUUAGGGCAAUUACCAUACUGCCUAAAGAAGUUAUCUGCACAUACGCUCUUAGCAGGUGUCACUGGAGCAUUAGACCCUCCGGAACUGAGGAACCGAGGAGUGCUUUGUGCAGUGGAGAACCUACAUUCAUCACCGGUUAAGCCCCAGUCUGAAUCUUGAAAAUUCCGGGUAUCGAGCAUCGAUAAACGGGGUGGAAUUCUUGAUGGGAGAGGAGAGGAGAGGGUUUGGUAAAAUGGGUCAUCGCUGAAAUCUGAAACUGAGGUGUUAGAUCUGCGAGAUCUUGAUUUUGGCCUGCAACCCCCUGUAUCAACCUCCACUAUCUUUGGAGUUUCGUCAAUGGGAUUCAUUAACGUGGCGUCUAGUGAUGUUGAAAGCCUUCUACUGUGGAUUGAAGCUGUGUGUUCACUCCUUGUUUCAUCAUAUCUCUCCUGCAAAUAAUCAAAGCAUGGAAUAUUAUGAACAGAGUGUGAAUUAAUAUUAACCAUAUAAAGAUAUUCAAUUUCUUGCUACAAAAGUUUUGGAAUUUGAGCUCUUUUACCAUGGAUUUUCGAGCUCGAAUUUCGAAUCGGUUAUCAGUUUUUGUGAGAUUUCUGGCUCUGUAGGAACGGACGGUGGCUUGUGCUCUAAUUAGAGCCUGCAUACUGUGGAGCGUUGCAGUUGCUUGUUUUCUUACGAUGUAUCCUCUAACGUGGGCUUGCAACUUCACCAAUCCUUUUAAUGCUCGCAGUGCCUUUCUGGCCUGUUUAGAAUCCAAAAUCCAAGAAAAGAGAAUUCCUUUUACUCGAAUGUAAACAGAAUUAAAAGCAGAGAUGGAUAUGACAUGCAUUGUGUACUAGCUACUGAGCAAGUAAAUUCUUUAAGAACAUACCGACCAACCAAAUUCCUGUUUAAAGAAGAAAGUUACAAGCUUUUGUUCAACAAAAUUUCAGAUUGUGAAAAACCAGGAAAACAUACAAACCCCUAAAGCCCACUCACCAAAUAGCCCCUGAAAAUGGUUUGAAUCCUGACAGCAGCCCACCUUUCCCGUCCACCACCAAACAUGGAACCUCUGCCAUGGCUAGUUAGCCUGACUACCGCCACCGCCGCCUGGGCUGCGGCAACAGCGGCAUCAGCUGCCGCGGCUGUGGCCGCUGCAACUGCUAUGGCGUGCUUGUUCUGUUCCUUCUCAGUGUCAUUGUAGUAUGACCUUAGCCAAGCAGCCUCAGCUGGAGAAAUAUUGGGUGGUAUAGUAGCUGGAUUGUGACAUAACCCGGUUGAGUUCCUCGCCGAGCUACACCGCUUAUUGUCUCUCCGGUCACAAUUGUCCUUAUUGCCGUAGUUCUUUAUCCCAAACAGGCCCUUUAGCCAUCUUGUAGCUCUACCCAUUAGUUUGUUUUUGCUCUGCUUGCUAGAAAACUAGAAAGUGGUGGUAGAGACUAGGGAGAGUGAGAACGCGAGAGAAACCAGGAAAUGUUAAACGUUACAAAAAGAAAAUGACCCAUUUGUACAAAAGAAAAGAAAGAGGCUGUUAGAGCUCUCAGUAGCUUACAAUCUUAGGUGGUGAUGAUUCACUUUUAAGAAUUAUAAUAAAAGAGAACAAGCGGCAAUGUUUGAAAAGAUGCAAAUCAAAAGGCCAAUAAAAGGGCAUAAAAAUACUGUCAACUCCUCGUGAAGAAGUGCAUUACAUGACAAAACACACGCUGUUGGAAGAUGCAGAGGUUAUGGGAAUAUAUUAUAUUAUUUGACACAAAAAAAAAAACUUAAUUAAUAAGGACUAAAAUAAUCAGAAUUUGUGGGAAAGUAAUCACAGAGAAAAGG